rnacentral:rRNA from 1 species
AGCGAACGCUGGCGGCAGGCCUAACACAUGCAAGUCGAACGAACUCUUCGGAGUUAGUGGCGGACGGGUGAGUAACACGUGGGAACGUGCCUUUUGGUUCGGAAUAACUCAGGGAAACUUGUGCUAAUACCGAAUGUGCCCUUCGGGGGAAAGAUUUAUCGCCAUUAGAGCGGCCCGCGUCUGCUUAGCUAGUUGGUGAGGUAACGGCUCACCAAGGCGACGAUCAGUAGCUGGUCUGAGAGGAUGACCAGCCACACUGGGACUGAGACACGGCCCAGACUCCUACGGGAGGCAGCAGUGGGGAGUCUUGCGCAAUGGGCGAAAGCCUGACGCAGCCAUGCCGCGUGAAUGAUGCAGGUCUUAGGAUUGUAAAAUUCUUUCACCGGGGACGAUAAUGACGGUACCCGGAGAAGAAGCCCCGGCUAACUUCGUG